UGGGACAAACAAAAUAGAAUCAUGAUGAAGAAAGAAAUCUGAGACUACAAUCACAAGAGAAUACAAAUAAAUAUUAUAACCACUACAAUGUAGCAGUUCAACAGAAGCACAAAAGAAGUUAUAAGAUUCAGGGAGCUCAUGAGGCUUGAGAGCAGAAAGAGCAAAGAAGUAAUUAUAAAUAAAGAAGAAAAAUGUUACUGAAGGCAUAAAAUUCAAAAUUCUAUGGGAAAACAAAGAUGUAAUAACUAACCGCAAACUGCUUAAAGCUAAGGGAUUGAUCACUUCACAGAACAGGUGGUACUUAAGCAGUAACUCAAAGCACAAAUAAAGAAAAACUAUCAACAGACACACCGCUCCAAUGGGAGACCUGUGGUCCUACCUUCAGGUGGUAAACUGUACAACUGUGCCACAGGUCCAGUAACAGGAAUAACUGGCAACUGGAAAUGGAAAGAACUCUUAAUCGUUGGGAGUGGCAGGCGAUUUUUGGGGAAACACUUCCUCAUUAUAAGACUGGAGGUGUUGACAAGAGGAUCAAGAGUCCUGACUGCCAAACAUUCCUGUUUAAAAAAAAAAAAAAGACAAUAUAUCUUUGUGCUGGGGAUUGAACCCAGGGCCUAGUGCAUGCUAGGUAAGCACUCUACCACUAAGCUAAAUCACCAGCCCUCUAGUCUCUUCUUAAUCUCAAUUUCACCCACAAAAUGACCUCUGAUCUAUGGCCUGGACAUGAAGAAGAUAAUGAUUUGAGUUGCCAGAAAGAAUUUUCUAUUGUCCAAGUAAGCCAAAACUGAGAUAAACAUACUAAUUCCCUUUCAGAACUACAUUCUGUUAUUAAAGAAGGAAGAAACUCAUCAAGGGAAGAAACACCUCUUUCAUAUGUGAAAGCUUUUAAAUCCCUAUUGUAAAAAUUGCUAAUUUACUAAGGCUGUGGCUAUUUACAAAAUCCAUUCAAUUGGAUUUUUUGUUUUGUUUUGGGUACCAGGGAUUGAACUCGGGGACACUCAACCACGGA